UGUCCAGUUCAGCCUCACA
rnacentral:misc_RNA from 1 species